GCCUGGGUGGCUCAGUCGGUUGAGUGUCCGACUUUGGCUCAGAUCAUGAUCUCACGGUUUGUGGGUUCGAGUCCCACGUCGGGCU
rnacentral:tRNA from 1 species